rnacentral:lncRNA from 1 species
CUGUUAUAACUUUUUAUGUGCUGGCUAAUACAAACUCCCAAAUACCACUGUGGUGACACUAUUGGUAAUUUACGGCUUGCUCAACCAUAAUAGAUUUGUGGUGAGCUACACCAUAGCUGAUUUGUAACUCGCCACACCAUAGUAGAUUUACGGCUCGCCACACCAUAACACAAUUUAUGACUAUGGCCAUUGCCAACCACAAUGGUCCUAAAGACUAUAAUAAUGACUGUAUUUCACCAUAGUGGUGUUAAGAUUUCCUGCGCACUUUGACCAUGGUCGUGCCAACCACUGUGGUCCUAAAGAGUAUGACCACAACCGUACUUCAACACAGUGGUCCUAAGUUUUAUACGUGCUUUCACGCCAUCAUGUAUAGAGAGUGGUCAUCUCACAUCUUUUCAGAUAAGGUAGGGACAACAGAAGUAGAUAAAAUAGUCUAAUGGAUUAAUUUAUUUUUCCUAUAUCCAUUCAUGUUUUCAUGCCAUGUCAAGAAUUUCACAUAAUCCCUUCUUAUUUAAUUUAAUUUCAAUUCUUGUUCAUGAAAUAACAAUGCAAACCU